CCAUUAUAUAAGAUUGAGGCUCU
rnacentral:miRNA from 1 species